GCAUUAGUAGCUCAGUGUUUAGAGCGCCAGUCUUGUAAACUGGCUGUCGAGGGUUAAAAUCCCUCCUGUUGCU
rnacentral:tRNA from 2 species